CCUACGGGUGGCAGCAGUGGGGAAUAUUGCACAAUGGGGGGAACCCUGAUGCAGCAAUGCCGCGUGGGUGAAGAAGCACUCCGGUGCGUAAAGCCCUGUCAGUAGGGAAGAAAAUGACAGUACCUGACCAAGAAGCCCCGGCUAACUACGUGCCAGCAGCCGCGGUAAUACGGAGGAUGCGAGCGUUAUCCGGAUUCAUUGGGGUUAAAGGGUGCGCAGGCGGGCCUUUAAGCCGGCGGUGAAAUCGCGGGGCUCAACCCCGCCGAGCCGUCGGAACUGGGGGCCUAGAGUGCGGCGGAGGGAUGCGGAAUGCGCGGUGUAGCGGUGAAAUGCAUAGAUAUCGAGCGGAACCCCGAUUGCGAAGGCAGCGUGCCGUGCCGCCACUGACGCUGAGGCACGAAAGCGCGGGGAUCGAACAGGAUUAGAUACCCGUGUAGUC
rnacentral:rRNA from 1 species